UUUCUUCCAAAAUUCACAACAUAGUGCUAGUGGCUGAGUAGAGUUUUGUAAGGAAGAAUUUGAAGAUGAGUAAAGUAACUUUAUUGCUGUUAAUAGAGAACAUUCUGCAACAUGACCUACCACCUGGUAGAAACCAGAGAUCCCAGGCCUACUUGAUCUUGUCCAUUUGGCACUGCUGGAGGAAUAACAAGUUUCUUCCCAUCAUGCAUCUUUCUGGGAUACAUCAUGACAGAGAAAUCUCAAAGCCCAGGUCAAUUAUAACAGAAGAUGUGUAGCACC